rnacentral:rRNA from 1 species
CACACCGCCCGUCACACCAUGGGAGUCGGUUCUGCCUUAAGCUAUGUCGCCAACCGCAAGGAGGCACAUAACCACGGCAGGGUCGGUGACUGGGGUG